ACUUAAAUAGUUUAAAUAUAGAAUAUUAAUUUGUGGUGUUAUUGGUGUAGUUUUACUUUAGGUU
rnacentral:tRNA from 1 species